rnacentral:sRNA from 1 species
AUGCGGAGAUGCCCUCAUGUUUAUCGAUGAUGCAGUGAUUGCCGGUUUGUUGACUGUGGGUCUGAUGGUGGUCUUUCUGGCCGGGGUUGGCGUAUUCAUCUACCAGGAUGCGCGCAAGACCAGCAAGAAGAGCUCCUGAUCCCACUGAUUUCGAGAGUUUCGAAGCGCAGCACGGGCUAUUUCG